UACCAGCACCCCGAGUGGUCGGGACGAUUAUUGGGCCUAAAGCAUCCGUAGCCGGUUCUACAAGUCUUCCGUUAAAUCCACCUGCUUAACAGAUGGGCUGCGGAGGAUACUAUAGAGCUAGGAGGCGGGAGAGGCAAGCGGUACUUAGUGGGUAGGGGUAAAAUCCGCUGAUCCAUUGAAGACCACCAGUGGCGAAGGCGGCUUGCCAGAACGCGCUCGACGGUGAGGGAUGAAAGCUGGGGGAGCAAACCGG
rnacentral:rRNA from 1 species